GGGAGGGAGGGCAGGAAGGGGGGAGCAGACAGGCGGUCGGGUGGCGGAGAACCCCCGGGUGUGGGCGCUGCCUUGAACUCCUUACCCCAGCUGCCUGGCUGCCCCCAGCUUCCCAAAGCUCAAAUAAGCGGGGCCGGCGGCGGGGGGAGGAGGAGGAGCCAGGAGGCUCGGCCGCUCCAUUCACUCAGCAGCCCAAGCUCGGCCCGGCAGCGCGCGCUGCUCCUUGGGGGCGCCCUCGCAGCGGGGGUGGGGGCGGGUCCGAGGGAGCAUCCCUCUUGGAGACACCCUCCUCUUCAACCAAACACGCGUUCUUAGCUGCCCGGCUUGGCACGACCCUCCCCCCACCUCCCUUUCAGGGCCUUCGCCAGUGUGGGAGCCUCGUCUCACUGGAGAGUCCUCUCAGCUUGCAUUGCGUAAACGUUGUCGCCAUUAAAUUCUGACUGCGGACCCGAAGUGUGUGCGGGGUCCAGGACUUACCCGAAGGGCGCACUUCUUGGGGAUGCGCAUCCCGUAGUCGCAGGAGAAGGGUAAAGAAUCCCUGUGGGGGCGGGGAGGGGAAGCGCACUGCCCCGAACUCCGGGGCGCCCCUUCGCCUCGACUUCGACUUCUCAGACUGAAGAGGUGGGAGGAGUUCCCUGCAGCCUGCAGGGCCGAGAAGUAAGUGCUAAGCUCUGGAGCCGCAGUCGCUGGACCCCGAGACCCGACAGGAAGUCUCCGUACGACCCCGAAGGACCCACAUUCCCGGAAGCCCAGGAGACCCUAAACCAGCGCUGGGAAAUGGACAAUCUCUUGGCAGUCUCAGGGCGCUCCAAGCCUCUCUCUUCACUUCUUUCUUAUGGGUAACGUUCUCUGCGGGAGACCUGAGGUUACCUAAGAGGGAUGCGCCGGCUGCGCUGGCCAUGGCGCGGUGAGCUAAGCAGCAGGACCCACAGCCUGGCCCGAAGGCAGGUCGCACCUUCCACCCGCCGCGGAAGGUAGGCGCUCUCCUGCACUUCCUUUAGCUCGAGAGGCCCGCCCAAGGUCCCAGGGAAAAGAAGGCUGUGAGACCUGGGUGCUCCCUUCUUUCCCACACCUUCUUAUCCCUGUCAGCGCCGAGAUCUGUGGCAGAGGUUCCUAUUCUCAAACACCUAUUGGCAAAGAAAGGUGCAGAUUAAACUCCUCGUUUUAUAGAGAAGGAAACUGAGGCCCAGACAGACAAAGGAGAGGCAAGCUGUGGAGCGCAGCGGUAAAGAGCAAGGGACUGGUGGUCCCAGAAUGGAAUCUCGGCUCUGCCAGGUAACCGAAAGCUGUGUGACCCUAGACGAGUUCCGUAGUCUCUCUGAGCCUCGGUCUCCUUACUGGUCAAACGGGAUAAUGGGAUAUUAGCUCCCACCUCAUGGAGUCGUCUGAGGAUUAGAUAGGAGAGUAGUGUUGGCCUUCGACUCAAUCAACUUUACAGUUUUUGUUACUACUACUGUUUAAGGACAGGAAGCAAAUUAGUGGCAAAGCUGAGCUGACACCCAGGUCUCUCAACGUCCAGUUGGGGGUUUUACCCACCACCCCUCUGCCUCUCCAGGACUAAUGGGACGCAGAGGCGAGGAGAGCGCCUGGAAAACAAUGCGGCGUUGGUGCACUGGCAAAGCGCAGGCAUCCCGGCCUCAAAGGUGCAUAAUUAUUGCAGGAUGAAAAAAGUCUAGGCUGGGUGGGAGGAGGGCAAUGAGGAUCUCUCAACCCCUCCUUUCACCCCUGCGCUGUCCACUUCAUUUGACCGAGAGCUGAGCUGGGCUGCUACAGCCGCAACCCCAGGGACCAGUGCGCACUCCCGAGCCGCCCUCCGGGAGUCACCCAGCGGCCGCGGACAACUGAAUAAACAUGCCAAAGCGCUGCGACCGGUCAGUGGCGGGGGCAGCCACCCUACGCACCGGGCACGCAGGCUGUGAUAAAGAGUGGCUCGACCUCGCUGCCGCCUGUCGCGGGAGAGAAAUUAGCGUUCGACCAGCGCCUCUCCCCGGGGCCGGCGCCCAGAGCCCCGCGUACAAGUCAGCCAGACAGCUGCUCCCUUCCUCCCUCCUCCCGGUUGACUCCAGCUCCUCGGAAUCUGCCCACUCCGGGAUGCGCGGCAAUUGUUUAGGAUGGUUCCCAGCCCUGCGCUGGUGGUAGAAAUUUCAGCGUCAAUUAUUUAACUAGUAAUUUUUUUUAAGCAAGGGAGGGGCUUUUGUGAUAGCUACUCCCAGCUUCUUCUGAUCAUUUCAAAAUUAACUCUAUUAAAAAACAAACAAACAAACAAAAAAAAAAAACUAGUCCCCGCUUAACGGUUCUAACUCUCCUCUCUAACCCUAUCUGGGGGCCCGGAAUCAUUAGAUACUGCCAAGUGCGAUGCAAAAUUUCCCUUUCUCCCCCAGUUCGAAGUGCCUGCGAGCCGCCAGGGUUACCCGUCUGUUCUGAUGCCACCGCGAGAUGGUCCCCGAGCUCCCGGAGAUCCUCAAUGAAAGGAUUCCGCGGCUCUGCCUCUAUUAUUAUACCGUAAAUCUUUUUAAAUUCUGGAACUAAUUAUAUAGAGGAUAUGUCUCAAUUUGUUCUGCAUUAAUGCCACAGUGGGGAUGGAGGCCAGGCUGUGGCCAGAGCAGAUACGUAGGCCCAUGAAAUUGAUGAACUGAGAGUUGCUUCCAGUCCUGAGCGCACCAUCUGGAAUUCCAGUCUGAGGUUACAAUUAGAACUCCUGACCCCAGAUUCAACUUUGCAAACAACGGGGAAAAAAAUGGGGGAAAAGAAAAACCACUAGAGAGAGAAAAAAAUAUAUAUAUUCUGCACCUGUUUAAAAAAAAUCACACACAAUCUUAAAAUCUUUCCAUCUUAGACAAUUCUUUCCAAAUUUUUUUUGUGUUUUUUAACCUAUAAAAGAUAAUGGAAUAUGUUUUAUAGACUGGAUUUUAUCUCAUCCCCUUUCCCUCUCCCAACUGCCCUCAGUUUAAUAGUUGUCAGUUUUACCUCAGUGUUGAAUUUAAUUAUGUAGGAACAAAAUAUUUCUCAGUAAAUUAGCUUGCUAAAUAUUCUGUCACAUUUACUUCCCCUUUGAGAAAUGGCUUAAUUACAGAAAUCUACCUGUGUCUAGGAACUUUUUUUUCCUUUUCUUUUUUGACUGCGAUUCCAGCUUAACUGUAAGCAGAGAUUUUAUUUGUGCAGUAAUUUUAUUUGUGUUCUAAAUUAGUUGGCCAAUUUCUUCCCUCUUUCUUUAGUAACAUGCUGCUUUAUUUUCCUCUCACUUUGACCCCCUGAAGAAAAUGAAGGGCCAGGCAGUACUGGAGAAUCUGUUAAAUUUAUUAGCAUAAAUGCUUAGACAAAACGAGAUAUAAAUCAUUCAGAUGUAUUAAGCCAUAAAGUAUCCCAAAGAAGUCAGUCCCUUGCCAGGGUCCUGGUGUAUAAAUGUUCAUAUAAAACAAGGUAUCGGUAUUAUCUUUCAAACUGAAUAUAUGUUGUAAAAAUAUCCAAGGUUGUGUUGGGAAUAUGGGGGUGGGUGUCGGUGCAGCAAGACAAGAAGGGGAUAUUCUUUAGAGCAGACUGUUAACAUAGUGGUGGCUCAGAAAGUACGGUGGAAAGGAAAAAUCUCAACCGUUUGCAUUUGGAGUCUUCUUAGAUAAUAUGUUUUUAAAGAAAGGUAUUAGGAUAUAUUUGGGAGCAAGAGAAUAAGAAAAAAAAAAAAAGGUGACUAGAUGGAGAACGACAUCGCUUUCUGUAGAAUGCGUUUUCCCCCAAAGGUUAGUUUAGCUUCAGAAAAGUCCACCCAGAGGAAGCACUGGCACCUCACACAGAUAACGGAGUAGCCAGUAGUGAAGAGCUACCUGGGCCUUCGUCUGGGAACCAGGAUAUCCCGCCGCUGGUCGGCAGAAGGAUGUGUAUUCAUUCGUGGUAGAAGAGAAGAAAGCACUUGGGUGUGAGGAAGGGGAAUGGACAGAAUUCCUAGCAGAGGUUUACCAAGACAAAAAUCACACACAGUGUUUAAGCAGCAAUUGCUCAUGAAGUUCAUAACCAUGGCUCUCUGUAAAUCUUGGCAAAUCGGCGUUUGCCUUUUGGAAAUGACUGUUUUCAAGACUUAAAAAAAAAAAAA